rnacentral:piRNA from 1 species
GCUGCUGCUGAAAGGAAGGACUAUGGAGC